rnacentral:rRNA from 1 species
AUUGAACGCUGGCGGCAGGCCUAACACAUGCAAGUCGAGCGGAUCGGCGGACGGGUGAGUACUGCCUAGGAAUCUGCAUGUUCGUGGGGGAUAACGUCCGGCAACGGGCCCUAAUACCGCAUACUCUCAGCUGCGCCUAGGGCGGAUUAGCUAGUUGGGGGGGUAAAGGCCUACCAAGGCGACGAUCCGUAACUGGUCUGAGAGGAUGAUCAGUCAGACUGGAACGGAGACACGGGCCAGAAUCCUACGGGAGGCAGCAGUGGGGAAUAUGGGACAAUGGGCGAAAGCCUGGUGCAGCCAUGCCGAGUGUGUGAAGAAGGUCUGCGGAUUGUAAAGCACUUUAAGUUGGGAGGCGUUACCAACAGAAUAAGAACCGGCUAACUUCGUGCGAGCAGCCGCGGUAAUAC